AAAUUGAAGAGUUUGAUCAUGGCUCAGAUUGAACGCUGGCGGCAGGCCUAACACAUGCAAGUCGAACGGUAACAGGAAACAGCUUGCUGUUUCGCUGACGAGUGCGGACGGGGGAGUAAUGGCUGGGAAACUGCCUGAUGGAGGGGGAUAACUACUGGAAACGGUAGCUAAAACCGCAUAACGUCGCAAGACCAAAGAGGGGGACCUUCGGGCCUC
rnacentral:rRNA from 1 species